UCCGAUAUGGUGUAGUGGCCAACAUGAUGCCCUCUCAUAGCUUGAGAGGUUAGGCAUAGCCCCGAGUUCGAUUCUCGGUUUCGGAA
rnacentral:tRNA from 2 species